rnacentral:rRNA from 1 species
GACGAACGCUGGCGGCGUGCUUAACACAUGCGAGUCGAACGGAAAGGCCCUGCUUUUGUGGGGUGCUCGAGUGGCGAACGGGUGAGUAACACGUGAGUAACCUGCCCUUGACUUUGGGAUAACUUCAGGAAACUGGGGCUAAUACCGGAUAGGAGCUCCUGCCGCAUGGUGGGGGUUGGACAGUUUCGGCGGUUGGGGAUGGACUCGCGGCUUAUCAGCUUGUUGGUGGGGUAGUGGCUUACCACGGCGUUGACGGGUAGCCGGCCUGAGAGGCUGACCGGCCACAUUGGGACUGAGAUACGGCCCAGACUCGUACGGGAGGCAGCAGUGGGGAAUAUUGCACACUGGGCGGAAGCCUGAUGCAGCAACGCCGCGUGCGGGAUGACGGCCUUCGGGUUGUAAACCGCUUUCGCCUGUGACGAAGCGUGAGUGACGGUAAUGUGUAAAGAAGCACCGGCUAACUACGUG